rnacentral:rRNA from 1 species
AGAGUUUGAUUAUGGCUCAGGAUGAACGCUAGCUACAGGCUUAACACAUGCAAGUCGAGGGGCAGCAUUGGAGUAGCAAUACUUCAGAUGGCGACCGGCGCACGGGUGAGUAACACGUAUCCAACCUGCCGCUUACUCGGGGAUAGCCUUUCGAAAGAAAGAUUAAUACCCGAUGGUAUAAAGAGUUCGCAUGUUCUCUUUAUUAAAGAAUUUCGGUAAGCGAUGGGGAUGCGUUCCAUUAGAUAGUUGGCGGGGUAACGGCCCACCAAGUCUACGAUGGAUAGGGGUUCUGAGAGGAAGGUCCCCCACAUUGGAACUGAGACACGGUCCAAACUCCUACGGGAGGCAGCAGUGAGGAAUAUUGGUCAAUGGACGAGAGUCUGAACCAGCCCAAGUAGCGUGAAGGAUGACUGCCCUAUGGGUUGUAAACUUCUUUUAUAAGGGAAUAAAGUGAGGGACGUGUCCCUUUUUGUAUGUACCUUAUGAAUAAGGAUCGGCUAACUCCGUGCCAGCCGCGGC